GACGAACGCUGGCGGCGUGCUUAACACAUGCAAGUCGAACGGUAAGGCCCUUCGGGGUACACGAGUGGCGAACGGGUGAGUAACACGUGGGUGAUCUGCCCUGCACUUCGGGAUAAGCCUGGGAAACUGGGUCUAAUACCGGAUAGGACCCUGGGAUGCAUGUCCUGGGGUGGAAAGCUUUUGCGGUGUGGGAUGGGCCCGCGGCCUAUCAGCUUGUUGGUGGGGUGAUGGCCUACCAAGGCGACGACGGGGAGCCGGCCUGAGAGGGUGACCGGCCACACUGGGACUGAGAUCCGGCCCAGACUCCUACGGGGGGCAGCAGUGGGGAAUAUUGCGCAAUGGGCGCAAGCCUGGUGCAGCGACGCCGCGUGAGGGAUGACGGCCUUCGGGUUGUAAACCUCUUUCAGUAGGGACGAAGCGCAAGUGACGGUACCUACAGAAGAAGGACCGGCCAACUACGUGCCAGCAGCCGCGGUAA
rnacentral:rRNA from 1 species